AUUGAACGCUGGCGGCAUGCUUUACACAUGCAAGUCGAACGGCAGCGCGGGGCAACCUGGCGGCGAGUGGCGAACGGGUGAGUAAUAUAUCGGAACGUACCCAGAAGUGGGGGAUAACGUAGCGAAAGUUACGCUAAUACCGCAUACGAUCUACGGAUGAAAGUAGGGGACCGCAAGGCCUUAUGCUUUUGGAGCGGCCGAUAUCUGAUUAGCUAGUUGGUGAGGUAAAGGCUCACCAAGGCGACGAUCAGUAGCUGGUCUGAGAGGACGACCAGCCACACCGGAACUGAGACACGGUCCAGACUCCUACGGGAGGCAGCAGUGGGGAAUUUUGGACAAUGGGCGCAAGCCUGAUCCAGCAAUGCCGCGUGAGUGAAGAAGGCCUUCGGGUUGUAAAGCUCUUUUGUCAGGGAAGAAACGGUAGAGGCUAAUAUCCUUUGCUAAUGACGGUACCUGAAGAAUAAGCACCGGCUAACUACGUG
rnacentral:rRNA from 1 species